ACAGAGAGGACGCGGCUCCCGGUGUCCUGCCCUCCCGCCACGUCGGGACCCGCGGCCGGAGCACCUCCUCCGGCACGUGAAAUUGAUGGGCUGAGACUCGCCGCUCGCCCGGAGCCGCCAUCUGGAAUUGCAGUCUCAGGCUCCAAUUAGAGCUCCUGACCCCGCAUUCAACUUUGGGAAGAAC
rfam:Alligator mississippiensis ScZkoYb_106, whole genome shotgun sequence.